CUUUUAUAACACUAGAGGGAAUAGUGUGUAGAGGGAAUGGGGAGUAAUAUGGAGAGACAGGCCGUCUUCUGGGAUUUUGUGAGUUGUGAUAUGAUCUCUCUAUUGAUCCUGAGACUCCACAGAAGUUUAAAAGACACUCCCUUCAUCCUGUCUGUACAGACAAAAAUACCUCAUCUCAAGCUCAUAUUCACCAGCCGUUCUGUGGUCAAUACAGAAGAGAUAGAGCUGCUGAUGACAUCCAUGUUCGAUCCUUGGCUCGCAAUUGCUUUCCCACAAGCUGUCUUCCGGCCUGAAGAAACACUAUCAUUCUGUCCAGCCGAUAUAUCAGCCAGCUACAGAUUUCCAGGCUUUCCACUGGGGCCUCAGAAAGGAAUAGAGUGUAAAAUAGUAGACCCUUUCAAGCCCUUCUUCCUGGAGGGAAAAUCCUGCAUUACAGGGUGUACUGCAUGCAGUAAGCAUGCACGCCUGGUAAAAACAGCCAUGUUUUCUUAUAGGAGGGAGGGAAUUUUUAAACAUUAAGACAAUGGGUAAUGUUGAAUCGUGGCCCAAGUGCACAGCCAGUGAUUAGUGGGUAACUUAACUAUGUCUGACUUCAUCCAGAAUAGCUGUAGUAGGAAGCACUAUGUUCAGUACUGUUUGCAGGUUUGGACCCCCUUAGACCUUUUCGCAGACUGAUUUCUAGUGACUUGAGAACAUUGGGGGGUAUGGACAUGGUUCUGAAUGUACACUCCUCCACAUGGACCUGUACGUAAUGUUUAUAGAGAGAACUUUUCAAAAUGGGGAAAGAUGAUCUUGUGACUGAACUCCACUCAUACUUCGCCAUGCAAUUCCCAGCAAGCUGCUUAAACUCAGCUUGGCAACUGGGAAGGGCAAUAGAUUCCAACUGCAUUGCAUUGUUAUGAGGUUUGAUUCAUUAAUGUCAUUUGCAAACUGCGAGCUCCUAGAGAUGGAAGGGACAAUGCUAAGGUCAAAAUAUUAUUACUUCAUAUUGCUAAGUUUCACAAAUUCCUUGUGAAAGGGAAUUUUCCAUCCCUUUGAGAGGCAUUUGUUCUGAAGCACAAAUGUACUGAGUCUUGGUGGUAGGACUGAACAUGCAUGAGAUUUGAUCUGCCGUGUUUACUCUUGUUUUGCAAUUAACAACACAGCUAUUCCUUAUUAAGUCCCAUGAAUGUCUAGAGGGUAUUAAAAAAGGUCUCU
rnacentral:lncRNA from 1 species